AGAGUUUGAUCAUGGCUCAGAUUGAACGCUGGCGGCGUGCUUAACACAUGCAAGUCGAACGUGAAAGGGGCUUCGGCCCUAAGUAAAGUGGCGCACGGGUGAGUAACACGUGGAUAAUCUGCCCUUAUGAUCGGGAUAACAGUCGGAAACGGCUGCUAAUACCGGAUACGCUCAAAAUGAACUUUUUGAGGAAAGGUGACCUCUGCUUGCAAGUUACUGCAUGAGGAUGAGUCCGCGGCCCAUUAGCUAGUUGGUAGGGUAACGGCCUACCAAGGCAACGAUGGGUAGCCGAUUUGAGAGGAUGAUCGGCCACACUGGGACUGAAACACGGCCCAG
rnacentral:rRNA from 1 species